CGGGGCGGGGAGAUGCUCGGGUUAAAGCGGCGAUGCCGACCCGGCCGGAGCUCUGGCGGCUGGUUUAAAGCGGCUCUGCCGGAGGCCGGUACCCGGGAGUCCUUCAACAUGUUAAUUCACGUGGCAAAUAUUUACUGCCCAGCUGUAUUCUAGUGGGGACAGAGACGGUGAACAGAUGCAUGAAGAACGGUAAGAAAGCGGACGGGAAAUAGGAGAUUUCUAUUUAACGGAGAACGUUGCAUCCUUUCUCCUUACAGAGAAUUCAGGUCAGUGCCCGCGAUGGGCCAGGGUGUGUACUGGGCAGCGGAGACACGAUGGAUAAUAAACAGGACACACGAAGAGACCUCAUGCGCCUUCCGAGCUGACAGGAGAGACAGAAAGAGCAGCACGGAUGUACAGGGGUGAGAGGAACUGCGCGUGCUCAUCUCUGAAAUAUAGCUCCAUAAAAAAGCAAUGACUCGGCCAUAAAAAAGAAUGAAAUCACGCCAUUUGCAGCAACAUGGAUGCAACUAGAGAUUCUCAUACUACGUGAAAUUGCUCACUGUGGGGGACAGCAGCCACCAUGUCACAAAGACACUCAAGAAGCCCUGUGUAGCCACCUGGAUGGAGAGGACCUGAGGCCUCCCAUCAACAGCCAGCACCCACUUGCCAGUUGUGUAGAAUUAUCUGGAACAGAGCCCUGCUGAUCUGGUGGCGGACGCACGUUCUUAAUUCUGCUAGGAAAAAAAAAUUUCAGGAAACCCUGGAUGGCUCCAGGCAAGUUCCUGCCAUUGAGUAACAGAGAGGCGGAAGUGAAAACAUUCUCCCAUUGGGUUUGCCCAACAGUGAAACCACGAGGGACUGAGAGACUUAAGAAGAGGGGAGGAGCCACGGCUCAGCGCCCAGAUGUUAAGUGCACGACCCGCCAAGCUAUCAGGAGACCACAUAGUAGAAAGACCAGUGGUGACUACCCUGCCAUGAAUUCACUUGACAAGCAUCCAUCUUUCCUGGCAUUAGUUUUCUCGUCUAUAAAAUGAGUUUCUUUCAGCGCUCAGGUUGUAGUACUUGUGGUGCAGACGGGAGGCCUUUGUUCCAAUACCUGAUCAGACCUGGUCAGACCUGCCAACAGAUAAUAAACAACUCUACAGAUACAAGUGUACAACAGAGACGAUGAGAAUUCUGAGCCUUGUUUGUGGCAAUUCUACCAGAAGGGGACUGCAUGGCACCACCACAAGAUUUCGUAAAUUACCCUGAACAUACUCAGUUAUUCACUAUUUGUUUGGAGCAAAGCAUGAAAGAGUCUUCAAACACAUGAAUGACAGAUUUUGAGAGAGUGACUCUUUUUUGAAACAUAAAGUGCAACAGUGCUGAAGUUUUCAGUUUUUGUUAGUUCUUCAUUUUUUUUUUUUUUUUGUCUGUUUAGAUGCCAUUUCCUGCAAGCAGUAUUAUGGCACAGUGAAUAUAAUGGAAAGCAGUUUUCCAACACAUAUCCCAGAUCUUUGCUUUCUUAUUUAUUUGAUGAUGUCGUUAAAGGUUUAACAAAUCCUUCUUCAUAAACUUUCAAAAUAGCUUCACAUACAAAUCUGUAUUGACUCUGAAAAAUAAAAUAUAAAAAAAUAGAACGGAUCAGAAAAACUAGAAAACAAACAAAGACAGACAAACAUCUCACUUGGCUUGCUUAUACAAGAAAUACAAAGUAAGACUGCACAGAGAUACCACUUUUCACCAAGAGACUGGCAAACAAAGUUUGACAGCAUAUUCUGUCGGCAAAACCCACUCAUACAUUGCUAGUAGGAAUGUGUAUACCACAAUCCCUAUGGAUGGACAGUUGGCCUCGUCUGACAAAAUUACAUUGAUUUACCUAUUGACCCAGCAAUUCCACUUCUAGGAAUCUAUCCAGAAGACAAACUAGAAAAAGAAAUUAAAAUAUUUAUUCAGAAAUGAGGCUAUUCACUGCGGAAUUACUUAUAAUGACAAAAAAGUAGAAACAAUUCAAAUCGUCAUCAGUAAGGGACUGGAGAACCAGCAUUCUUGUUAAAGAAGAAAAGGGACAAAGAUGUAAGCAGAAAAUGGUAAGUGAAAACACUGUGGUCUGAGUCUGUAUUGGAAGCCCUGAAACAGAGCAGGGCCCUAUGGUCUAUGCCCCCCAUGUCCUCAGCCUGCCUUUUGUCUGUGGAAAAAUUUUAGCCAAAGAGUAACUUUAAUCAGAGAAAUGAGAAAAUGCAGAAACAAUGGAAAACAGUCAAAGGCGACUGGAUAAUACUAUAGUCAUUAAGCAGAGUCAAGGACCUUUAGUUCCUCCUCAAGGGCUGUAGAUAAUAUUCUAAGCCGUAUCCUGUGAGCUGUCUUAUAGAUACUGAAACCCCCGCCAGGUGGAAGAAGUGAACUACAUGAUGACCAGGCUGUAGCCAUGACAUAAGCUGCCACAAUUCCGAGAACUGGCCCCAAGGAAAUGGGAACGAACCAACCCUGGAGAGGCCAAUGAACCAACUCAUUAUAUUGAAAACUUAUAAAUAAAGGGAAAGCAUCAAGUG